rnacentral:rRNA from 1 species
UACGGAGGGUGCGAGCGUUAAUCGGAAUUAUUGGGCGUAAAGGGUGCGUAGGUGGUUGAUUAAGUUAGCUGUGAAAUUCCUGGGCUUAACCUGGGGUGGUCAGCUAAGACUGAUUGACUUGAGUAUAGGAGAGGGUAGUGGAAUUUCCGGUGUAGCGGUGAAAUGCGUAGAGAUCGGAAGGAACACCAGUGGCGAAGGCGGCUACCUGGCCUGAUACUGACACUGAGGCACGAAAGCGUGGGGAGCAAACAGG